rnacentral:rRNA from 1 species
AGUGAACGCUGGCGGUAGGCCUAACACAUGCAGGUCGAACGGCAGCACAGGAGAGCUUGCUCUCUGGGUGGCGAGUGGCGGACGGGUGAGGAAUACAUCGGAAUCUGCCCAGUCGUGGGGGAUAACGUAGGGAAACUUACGCUAAUACCGCAUACGACCUUCGGGUGAAAGAGGGGGAUCGCAAGACCUCUCGCGAUUGGAUUAGCCGAUGUCGGAUUAGCUAGUUGGCGGGGUAAUGGCCCACCAAGGCGACGAUCCGUAGCUGGUCUGAGAGGAUGAUCAGCCACACUGGAACGGGGCCACGGUCCAGACCCCUACGGGAGGCAGCAGUGGGGAAUAUUGGACAAUGGGCGCAAGCCUGAUCCAGCCAUACCGCGUGGGUGAAGAAGGCCUUCGGGUUGUAAAGCCCUUUUGUUGGGAAAGAAAUCGUUCAGGCUAAUACCCUGGGAGGAUGACGGUACCCAAAGAAUAAGCACCGGCUAACUUCGUG